rnacentral:rRNA from 1 species
UACGUAGGGUGCAAGCGUUGUCCGGAAUUAUUGGGCGUAAAGAGCUCGUAGGCGGUUUGUCGCGUCUGCUGUGAAAACUCGGGGCUUAACUCCGGGCCUGCAGUGGGUACGGGCAGACUAGAGUGCGGUAGGGGAGACUGGAAUUCCUGGUGUAGCGGUGAAAUGCGCAGAUAUCAGGAAGAACACCGGUGGCGAAGGCGGCUCUCUGGGCCUUACCUGACGCUGAGGAGCGAAAGCGUGGGUAGCGAACAGG